ACUCUCUGGAGUCUGACAAAGCAGGAAGUACUCAGCUUAUAUAUAGAGAAAGAGAUGUAUCUCAACCAGAAUUACAGCGAAAAAAUCAUCAAGAACUCCACCUGAUUUUCUCUGAUCGCCGUUGGUGCAACAGGUAACAAGUCCACAGUAUUGACGAUGGCUAUGCACCAACACACUCCAGACUUACUUCUUCCCUCUCAGUUUGAUCCCUACGACGAGGAAGAUCUCUUUGCAAAGAAUCUCAAACCUUCCCACCUUCACAAAGACUUCUCGAGCAAUUCUAAACCCUGGGAACCUGAUCCCCACGGUCACCGAAAUGAAUUGGUUUUCAGUAAUUCCCCUGUUGAGUCGGACCUCGGUUCGGCCGAUACGGAGAGUGACAGGGACGACGAUUACAUUGCCGAGUUAACUCGCCAGAUGUCUCACUACAUGCUCCAAGAAGAUCAUGACCAAAACUCCCUCCCAUGCACUGAAAAAAUGGAAAAGACAUGGGGUUUGAUUGGAUCGCCACAAUCAACGCUAUGGCCACCGCUGGGCUCUAGCCAUGGAAGCCCACAUAUUGGUCCUUCUCAAGACAACCCCUUUCGGGAUGGCAGCUAUGAUGAGGGGCUUCGGAGCUCUUCAUUCAAACCAGGUGUUGGGUUGAACUCAAAUCCAGCUCUCACUGACGAUCAACUUCGUGCUAUUCAAUUCUAUACGCUAAAACAGCGUGCUAUGAAGCAACAAGGCUCUCCAAACUGGCCGGGAAGACAAGCUAAAGCGCCUACUCGCCAACCAGAGCAAUUAAGAGAACAGCCUCAGCAGGUUCAUGAGCAGAAAGGUGGAUUAUGUAUUAAUAUUGGGCGGACUCUUGAUGGAGGAAAGUCUCGUAAAACAAAGCCCUGUACUCAGUCUCCGACUCAGACAGAGCCACAGGUGAAGUGUCACCAGCAAAAAGGGUCAGCUACGAGGAUGUUUGUACAAGGAGGCGAGUCAAGUAGUGAGUCAUCAUGUACUGGGACAGGUGUUUUCCUGCCUCGAGGAAUCUGGUACUCUUCGGAACCACGAAAGAAACCAGGAUGCUCCACUGUUUUUAUACCAGCAAGAGUAGUGCAGGCCCUGCAACUCCACUUUGACCAGAUGGGAGUGACGACUCGAACCAAAGCCGGUGGUUACCCUCUGCAGCAUGGUACCUAAUAUUACCAAAAACAAAACUUCUAUACUAACCUCUCACCUUUUAUUAUCAUGAGAUGGUUGGAUGGGAAGGAGAAAUGAUUCAAAGCAGAAACGACAGCAAUGGACGGCACCGGCCAUGAGCCACCAUGACAUGGGGCUGCCUCAAGAAUGGAAGUACUGAUUUUUGACGCUCCAACGUUGUUUCCUCACUCCGAAAAUCUGUUUGUUUUGUUGUUUUUGGUGGGGGGUGGAAAGUCAGGAAAAGAGAAAAAGAAAGGUAGGUUGAAGUCAAAAGGAAGAGAAAAAGUGAAUGACUCAUGUUGGGUUAAUACAAAGAAUCGUCCAUCAGUGAUGGGACAGAUACAAAUCAUUAGUCUUAAAUCCUUAGAGAAUGUGUGUGUUUUUCA